UACAGAGGUCUCAAGCGUUGUUCAGAUUCAUUGGGCGUAAAGGGUGCGUAGGCGGCGAGGUAAGUCGGAUGUGAAAUCCCGGGGCUCAACCCCGGAACUGCAUUCGAUACUGCUUUGCUUGAGUACUGGAGAGGAGACUGGAAUUUACGGUGUAGCAGUGAAAUGCGUAGAUAUCGUAAGGAAGACCAGUGGCGAAGGCGAGUCUCUGGACAGUUACUGACGCUGAGGCACGAAGGCCAGGGGAGCAAACGGG
rnacentral:rRNA from 1 species